rnacentral:rRNA from 1 species
AAUAGAUACCCUGGUAGUCCACGCCGUAAACGAUGUCGACUUGGAGGUUGUGCCCUUGAGGCGUGGCUUCCGGAGCUAACGCGUUAAGUCGACCGCCUGGGGAGUACGGCCGCAAGGUUAAAACUCAAAUGAAUUGACGGGGGCCCGCACAAGCGGUGGAGCAUGUGGUUUAAUUCGAUGCAACGCGAAGAACCUUACCUACUCUUGACAUCCAGAGAACUUAGCAGAGAUGCUUUGGUGCCUUCGGGAACUCUGAGACAGGUGCUGCAUGGCUGUCGUCAGCUCGUGUUGUGAAAUGUUGGGUUAAGUCCCGCAACGAGCGCAACCCUUAUCCUUUGUUGCCAGCGGUUAGGCCGGGAACUCAAAGGAGACUGCCAGUGAUAAACUGGAGGAAGGUGGGGAUGACGUCAAGUCAUCAUGGCCCUUACGAGUAGGGCUACACACGUGCUACAAUGGCAUAUACAAAGAGAAAGCGACCUCGCGAGAGCAAGCGGACCUCAUAAAACGUAUGUCGUAAGUCCGGA